UACGUAGGUGGCAAGCGUUAUCCGGAAUUAUUGGGCGUAAAGAGCGCGCAGGUGGUUAAUUAAGUCUGAUGUGAAAGCCCACGGCUUAGCCGUGGAGGGUCAUUGGAAACUGGUUGACUUGAGUGCAGAAGAGGGAAGUGGAAUUCCAUGUGUAGCGGUGAAAUGCGUAGAGAUAUGGAGGAACACCAGUGGCGAAGGCGGCUUCCUGGUCUGUAACUGACACUGAGGCGCGAAAGCGUGGGGAGCAAACAGG
rnacentral:rRNA from 1 species